AGAAGAACUCUUCCAAGAGAAAGCGACUCCUCCUUCACCCUACAUGCGCGGGCCAUUCAAUUGGCAUUUAUGCAUUAUUUCCUAUUACAGAUAAAUCUGAAACAUGCCAUGUGUAAUCUUACUUGAAUUUGAAUUCAAAUGGCAGGAUUACUAGAUAUGGGAUGCUCCCUUCUACCCAUGGCAGAAGGACUCUUUACGCGAUGAGCCAUGUAAUUUCUUUCCCUCAUGCACGUGCCUUCAAUCUCAGAUAAAUCUCCAUGCCAAAUUCAAAACCUAAAAUUGACAUUUCAAUCUUUGAGAU
rnacentral:lncRNA from 1 species